CCUCAGUGGGUCGGAUGAAAGCCCCGUCACCAACCAUUGCAGCACACAGUCUCCUCCCCUACUGAGGCCGAAGGGGUUUCAGCAGGAGGCCGAAGGGGUUGUGCGGAUCACGUCCAGUGUAUAAAAGUUUGGGAGGUCGCCUAUAACAUUCUCCCUGUUGUUAAAUUAAGGGUUAACCUUAACUUCAGCAAAGCAAUCGACACCUCAGAGACUUGCUUGUUGUAUCUUGCAUACGGUACAAAGACUCAAAAUGUAGAAGAACAAGUUGUGAUUUCAACAGAGGGCCACCUGCUGUAACUCCUGUAGUCACCAUGAGGUUGCCAGGCAACGGGAAGAGGCUGCAAGAAGUCACUGCUCUUGGCUUUUACAUAAAUUCAAACACGUACUUCCCCAAAAACAACUUGCUUUUUUAUUCUUUUUAACUUAUUCAUUAGUGAGAUAUUAGGUGCUAAUGGAGUUUUACCAUUUCC
ensembl:lncRNA